UGACACAAAAGCGGCCACAGCAAGCAG
rnacentral:piRNA from 1 species